rnacentral:rRNA from 1 species
UACGAAGGGGGCUAGCGUUGUUCGGAAUUACUGGGCGUAAAGCGUAUGCAGGCGGAUCGUUAAGUCGGGGGGUGAAAUCCCGAGGCUCAACCUCGGAACUGCCUUCGAUACUGCGGGUCUCGAGUCCGGGAGAGGUGAGUGGAAUUCCUAGUGUAGAGGUGAAAUUCGUAGAUAUUAGGAAGAACACCGGUGGCGAAGGCGGCCCACUGGGAUCGGUACUGACGCUGGAGGUGCGAAAGCGUGGGGAGCAAACAGG